CAUGUAGGCGGAUUAAUAAGUUUGAAGUGAAAUCCUAUAGCUUAACUAUAGAACUGCUUUGAAAACUGUUAAUCUAGAAUGUGGGAGAGGUAGAUGGAAUUUCUGGUGUAGGGGUAAAAUCCGUAGAGAUCAGAAGGAAUACCGAUUGCGAAGGCGAUCUACUGGAACAUUAUUGACGCUGAGGUGCGAAAGCGUGGGGAGCAAACA
rnacentral:rRNA from 1 species